CAAUAAUAUCUGCUCUUUCGAUUCGAAUCGAUCCAUUCGUUGAUAAUGAAAUGAUGAAAUUACUGCGCAAUGCGCAGUUGUUCCAGAGUUCCAGGAAAGCAAAAAUGUUGAUUGUGCGAAAUGCGAUUGCGACGGUCUGGGGGGAAGGAAACCUGUUAUUACGCGUAGUGGACUCGUCCAGUCUCCAGUGCCUUGGUGGCGGGAAAUUAAAAUGCUUUUAGUUUCCCUUGUCUGCAGUCUGCACGAUGCUUGCUUCAGCCUUCAGUCUUCAGUUCAUUUUCGAGUCUUCAGCUAUGAACGGUCGUCUUCGUCGUUUCGGGUCUUCGUGUAGUUCAUUUUGUUGGGUUAAUUAAUUUGCCUUUCCCUGCCGUGUCGUCGAUGUCGUCAGCCGUCGGUUUUCAAUUUCUAUUUAGUUCUUGUGAGUUGCGGAUCUCAAUAUUUUGAUCGAUUUCUUCGCGUUCGGUUAAUUUUCGACUUCGAGUAGGUACUCGAGAAGAUGUUCGCGAAUCGCGAUGUCAUUUGAUUGUUUUGGAGUAGGAGGAUAUUAUUCUCUGUAAUACAGCUAAUACAGGUGAUUUUGAAUAUGAAUCAAUCAAGCUUCGUGGAAAUUUAUCAGCGGGGUAGCUUUGCCGAAAUCUACGCUGGAUUUUCAUGGUGCGAGCUGUUAUUUUUUAGAGCCGAGAAAAUCGAUGUUGAUCGCAUGGUGGAAGAUUACAUGACGGCUGGCUAAACUCAAUGAACAAAGCAAAAAACGUGCUCUGUUUCCGGCAACAACGUCUCCAAUAUUACUAAUAAAGAGCCCUCUUUAUUUCUAUUCGAACACAUGCCAACAUAGUCUUUUUACCGCAAAACAACUCUGCAGCUGGAUGAGGCUGUUUGGCAGCAGAAUGCUGAGACCAGAGGCUGACCAUUCAUAUCUAUGAGGAUGUGGCGUAAUUAUCAUGACGUACCCAUGUACAUACGUAACUAAGAUCAACAUUCCAAUCAAGUUCUGAUGAUGUUAACUGACAGAAGG